rnacentral:sRNA from 1 species
UAUAGAUCAAACGGUUA